GAGGGUAGAGCUCAGUGGUAGAGUGUGUGCUUAGCAUGCACAAGGUCCUGGGUUCAAUCUGCAGUCCCUCCA
rnacentral:tRNA from 1 species